rnacentral:rRNA from 1 species
CCAAUAGCGUAUAUUAAAGUUGUUGCAGUUAAAAAGCUCGUAGUUGAAUUUCGGGAUUAGUACGUUGGUCGUGCCUUAGGUACGUACUGGUGUUACUGGUUCCUACCUUCUGACGAACCAUCAUGUCAUUAAUUUGGUGUGGCGGGGAAUUAGGACUGUUACUUUGAAAAAAUUAGAGUGUUUAAAGCAGGCUCGCGCUUGAAUACAUUAGCAUGGAAUAAUGAAAUAGGACGUUGACCCUAUUUUGUUGGUUUCUAGGAUUGACGUAAUGAUUAAUAGGGAUAGUUGGGGGCAUUAGUAUUCAAUUGUCAGAGGUGAAAUUCUUGGAUUUAUUGAAGACUAACUACUGCGAAAGCAUUCGCCAAGGAUGUUUUCAUUAAUCAAGAACGAAAGUUAGGGGAUCGAAGACGAUCAGAUACCGUCGUAGUCUUAGCCAUAAACUAUGCCGACUAGGGAUCGGAUGAUGUUAAUUUUUUAAUGACUCAUUCGGCGCCUUACG